UACGUAGGGUGCUAGCGUUGUCCGGAUUUAUUGGGCGUAAAGAGCUCGUAGGCGGUUUGUCGCGUCUGCUGUGAAAACCCGAGGCUCAACCUCGGGCCUGCAGUGGGUACGGGCAGACUAGAGUGCGGUAGGGGAGAUUGGAAUUCCUGGUGUAGCGGUGGAAUGCGCAGAUAUCAGGAGGAACACCAAUGGCGAAGGCAGAUCUCUGGGCCGUAACUGACGCUGAGGAGCGAAAGCAUGGGGAGCGAACAGG
rnacentral:rRNA from 1 species